ensembl:misc_RNA 7SK 7SK RNA
GGAUAUGAGGCUUAUCUGGCUGUGACUUGUUACCCCAUUGAUCACCUCGGCUGAUUUGGCUGAUCCGGCUGGCUAGGCGGGUGUCCCCUUCCUCCCUCACUGCUCCAUGUGUGUCCCUCCUGAAGCUCUGCAAUCCGUGGAAGAGGACGACCUUCCCCGAUAGAGGAGGAUCAUUUUUCGAUCAAGGGUAUAUAUAAGUAGCUGCGCUCCCCUGCUAAAACCCCCAAACAAACUUUCAAGGUCCAUUUGUAGGACAAUGUGGGGUAGCCAAGCUUUCAAGACUCUAGACACAUCCAAAUGAGGCACUGCAUGUGGCAGCCUUUCUUU